GCGAACGCUGGCGGCAGGCCUAACACAUGCAAGUCGAACGGAUCCUUCGGGAUUAGUGGCGGACGGGUGAGUAACACGUGGGAACGUGCCUUUUGGUUCGGAAUAGCUCCUGGAAACGGGUGGUAAUGUCGAAUGUGCCCUUCGGGGGAAAGAUUUAUCGCCAUUAGAGCGGCCCGCGUCUGAUUAGCUAGUUGGUGAGGUAAAGGCUCACCAAGGCUACGAUCAGUAGCUGGUCUGAGAGGAUGACCAGCCACAUUGGGACUGAGACACGGCCCAAACUCCUACGGGAGGCAGCAGUGGGGAAUCUUGCGCAAUGGGCGAAAGCCUGACGCAGCCAUGCCGCGUGAAUGAUGAAGGUCUUAGGAUUGUAAAAUUCUUUCAUAUGUCAAGAAAAUGACGGUAGCAUAUGAAUAAGCACCGGCUAACUCCGU
rnacentral:rRNA from 1 species